AUAAAAGUUGUAUUCCAUCCUGUGGGCAGAGAGCAAUGUAGCCCUUGGGAGGUGCCAGAAUGAAGGCCACUGGUGAUGAUGAGGAAGGUGUUGUUCUUACACAACCCUCUUCACCAUCAUAUCUGAGUGUCCUGCCACAGUGCUUUAUGCAACAUGACUAGUCUCAGUCUUGUGUGGUUCUGCAGGCACCUGAAUGAGGACGGCAGGAUCAGUUCCAUCAUCAAUGUAAUUUAACACAAUCAUUUCAAAUCUUCAUCUUCUGAGAUCUUUCAUCAACCAGGGGUCCUACAGUCUUGGAGCAUCUAUGGAGUCGGCCCCUUAUGACCCUAGCCACUGGACCAUCUUCCAAGCCAACAUGACCCCACUCUCAGUUUCACUGGCUUUAACAUCCAGCACUUGGCUUGAGCCCAUUUCAACACAGCAGCAUAACAUGGGACACAUAAGUGCCAUGUGAGAAGUGUCAAGCAGCAUAAGCAGCACAGAGGAACCUGAUUCUGCAUUAACAAGAGGGCUACUGCUUGGCCAAGUUACUGCUGCCUAGUAGCAAGAAUACAGGCAGAGAAGGGAGCAGUUUAUGUGCAUGCUGGGGAUCACACUUAGAGUGUCUCUGAGCAGAGAUGAAUGUUUCUCAUUUCAUUCCCCACCUGGCUUUUACCUGGCAUUCUUGC